rnacentral:rRNA from 1 species
AGGAUGAACGCUGGCGGUCUGCUUAACACAUGCAAGUCGAACGGAGUAGCAAUACUUAGUGGCGGACGGGUGAGUAACGCGUGAGAAUCUACCUUCAGAACGGAGACAACAGUUGGAAACGACUGCUAACCCCCGAUGUACUGAAAGGCAAAUAUUUAUAGCCUGAAGAAGAGCUCGCGUCCGAUUAGCUAGUUGGAGAGGUAAAAGCUCACCAAGGCGACGAUCGGUAGCUGGUCUGAGAGGACGAUCAGCCACACUGGGACUGAGACACGGCCCAGACUCCUACGGGAGGCAGCAGUGGGGAAUUUUCCGCAAUGGGCGAAAGCCUGACGGAGCAAGACCGCGUGGGGGAAGAAGGCUCGUUGGGUUGUAAACCCCCUUUUCUCUGGGAAGAACACAAUGACGGUACCAGAGGAAUCAGCAUCGGCUAACUCCGUGCCAGCAGCCGC